UUAUAUCCCUUCUUACAAGUCCUCUCCCUCACCAGGCCCUCUCCCUUACCCUGCAGCGUCUCCCUUCUGCCCCUCAUCCCGACCACAGCCCAGCCAGCCCCUCCCGCUGUCCCCCACCCGGACCCCCGUAUUCGCCGACGACCACCCGAACCACCCCAAAUCUUGUAGUCCAAAAUCCCAACAGGUCCGUUAUUAGGCGAUGGGUCCACCGCGAUCUCUGAUUCUUCACCGGCUCGCGCCCUACUUUGCAGCUCGAAUCAGGCAGAACCAGAGGCUUCUAUCCUCUUCUUUCUUCUAUUCCUCUUCCUCUUCUGCUGUCGAAGAAGCCUCUUCUUCUUCUCCAUCUCCGGCCCUCGACCUCGAUUCCGUUCACAUGACCGAUACCUGUGUUCAAAGAAUGAAACAGCUGCAAGCCAGUGAAGCAGAGGGAAAGAUGCUACGUUUGAGUGUAGAAACUGGUGGAUGUUCUGGGUUCCAAUAUGUUUUUGAUCUUGACGACAAACACCACCCAGAUGACAGAGUAUUUGAGAAGGAAGGAGUAAAGUUGGUGGUCGACAAUAUUUCAUAUGAUUUUGUGAAAGGAGCAACUGUUGAUUAUGUUGAGGAGCUGAUUCGCUCCGCUUUCCAAGUGACUACAAAUCCAAGUGCAGUCGGGGGGUGCAGUUGUAAAAGUUCUUUCAUGGUGAAAUAAUAGUUUUGCGACGGCUUUUGUGCACUGCCUUCCAAGAUAGCUAAGACUAGGAGGUAAUUAGCUUUCUGACUUCAACAGUAGACGAAUGCAUGCGACUUGAAAUUUGUUCGAUUAGCGGCCAUGCUACUUAUUACUUGUACUUGAGUUGAAAUUACAGUACGUUGCGGGGUUUCGAUGAUCUCGCCUAUUUUGAUGAUGUGUAGCGGCAUAGAUCAAUAGUUACUGAUUGUAAGGAAGUGAAGUGGUCGCCGUCGCCAGCGUGGAGAUGUGAAGGCGACAUCUCGUGGUGUUCAGAUAGCUUGACGGCGGUGGCGCGGAAGAGACAUUUGCUGCCUUGCUGUUUACUGUCGCACUCUCCAAUGGCGGAACAAAGGUUCUGCCUCUUUGUGGAGUUGAAUCGUUGAGGUAAUGCAUUGUGAAACCAUUUUUGCAUCGACAAAUCAUUGUGAAACAUGAAUCGCAGUCACUUGCCGCAUUAGUAAGGUCGGGCACAAAACAUAUCAAAUGCAUUCAUAUGAGCUCAACC